GGGAUUGCCUCAGUAACGGCGAGUGAAGCGGCAUCAGCCCAAUUUUGAAAGCCUCCGGGCGUUGUAGUGGCGGCAAAGACACACCGGCAAGUCCCUUGGAACAGGGCGCCUCAGAGGGUGACAGCCCCGUACGGUACCGUCUGCUAAUUGCCGCCGGGCGAGUCGAGUUGUUUGGGAAUGCAGCUCAAACGGGUGGUAAACUCCAUCCAAGGCUAAAUACCGGCGAGAGACCGAUAGCGAACAAGUACAGUGAUGGAAAGAUGAAAAGCACUUUGAAAAGAGAGUGAAAAAGUACGUGAAAUUGGUGUGAGGGAAGGGGGCGGGGGGAAGUAGGCCGCGGGUUGGGCAGCAGCGAAAAGGGCCGGGAACCGCUUCGGCGGCGCCCCAGCUGACUGCUG
rnacentral:rRNA from 1 species